ACAAAAAAUCUAUCCCUAAUUCUACUCCACUAACAGCUCCACGUUCAAGGUGGUGUACAACCGUUAUAUCUUCUAUAUAAAUCCAAUUUGAGUUGAUUCUCUAUUCAAUUUUCUCUGUAUUUAUCUCCUCUUCAUUGUUUUUUUCUUCUGGAUUUGCAAUUCUCACACUGGUUGAAGAUGCCUCUGAAUUCCACUCCUCUCUCAAAUCUAAAUUCUUUAAAAACAGAAUGGAAGAUCAGAGUUCUAAUAGUCCGAACAUACCAUCUUUAGGGAUUCCCAAAAAAAAGAUAAACCAGAUUUUUUUUCAGGAAUCUAAUCUUUUCCUUGUGGAUGAAAAUAUAUGUUCAAGUUCGCUUAUGCAUUUUUGACUAUCUAAUAUUUACUAUUUUCAACUUUUUAGUUGUUAGGCCAAUGAAACAAGAAAACAUAUUUAAUCCAUGGUUUUACCAUGUCAUUACAAACAAUCAUGUCACGUUUUGCUGUGUUCUUCUAACUUAAUUUAAGUCUCAUGUACUAAUUUUAUAAAAACUCUAUAUGACAAGUUCUUUUGUUUGAUUUUGAAACAGGGAAGUAGGAUACAAUCCAAAACUUAAUAGUGCUCUCUCUCUCUCUCUCUUUCUCUCUCUCUCUCUCUCUCUCUCUCUCUCUCUCUCUCUCUCUCUCUCUCUCGAUGCAGUUAUCUGGUAAUCAACAUCUUUUGUUUGUGAAUUGAUAUGAUCUAUGAUUAUUCCAUGUCUUUCUCUUUAUUCAAAUCUCUGUUUUUAUCAAACUCUGUUGCUGAAUUUGAUCUAUUUGCAAUCUCAUAUAAAUGUUAAUGAUUCUUAUAAUGUGAUCUGGUUUAUGUAGAGCUAUUUUCUGAUCGGAGAUUAUGUGUUGUUUCGUAUACGGUGAAGAGUUGGGAUAAUGUUUCCACGCUUCUUGGCCUUUUUCGUCGAAUUAGUAGCUUUUGCCUCGGUAGGUUCUUACAAUACGCUUCAUUUCUUAGAGUACAAAAAAUUGGUUGCCUGAGUUUUUCAUUCUUAAACGAUGUAAAGCAUCUUUGUGUCUAAAAAUGUCACACACUCUCUUAUAAGUUACAUGAUUAUUUUGUUUGCAAAUCUAAUUAUGUAAAUGCAUAUCCACAUUCUCCUUCUAA